rnacentral:tRNA from 1 species
GAGGUUAUAGCUCAAUGGUAGAGUGUGUGCUUAGCAUGCAUGAGGUCCUGGGCUCAAUCCCCAGUACCUCU